GCGUGCCUAAUACAUGCAAGUCGAGCGGACAGAUGGGAGCUUGCUCCCUGAUGUUAGCGGCGGACGGGUGAGUAACACGUGGGUAACCUGCCUGUAAGACUGGGAUAACUCCGGGAAACCGGGGCUAAUACCGGAUGGUUGUUUGAACCGCAUGGUUCAAACAUAAAAGGUGGCUUCGGCUACCACUUACAGAUGGACCCGCGGCGCAUUAGCUAGUUGGUGAGGUAACGGCUCACCAAGGCAACGAUGCGUAGCCGACCUGAGAGGGUGAUCGGCCACACUGGGACUGAAACACGGCCCAGACUCCUACGGGAGGCAGCAGUAGGGAAUCUUCCGCAAUGGACGAAAGUCUGACGGAGCAACGCCGCGUGAGUGAUGAAGGUUUUCGGAUCGUAAAGCUCUGUUGUUAGGGAAGAACAAGUACCGUUCGAAUAGGGCGGUACCUUGACGGUACCUAACCAGAAAGCCACGGCUAACUACGUGCCAGCAGCCGCGGUAAUACGUAGGUGGCAAGCGUUGUCCGGAAUUAUUGGGCGUAAAGGGCUCGCAGGCGGUUUCUUAAGUCUGAUGUGAAAGCCCCCGGCUCAACCGGGGAGGGUCAUUGGAAACUGGGGAACUUGAGUGCAGAAGAGGAGAGUGGAAUUCCACGUGUAGCGGUGAAAUGCGUAGAGAUGUGGAGGAACACCAGUGGCGAAGGCGACUCUCUGGUCUGUAACUGACGCUGAGGAGCGAAAGCGUGGGGAGCGAACAGGAUUAGAUACCCUGGUAGUCCACGCCGUAAACGAUGAGUGCUAAGUGUUAGGGGGUUUCCGCCCCUUAGUGCUGCAGCUAACGCAUUAAGCACUCCGCCU
rnacentral:rRNA from 1 species